AAUGGUUACAUUUUCUCUUUAAUAAGUCAGCAUUGUAACAUUGUCCAAAAGCAGGGAAGAUAAUAAUAAUAAUAUUAAUAAUAUUCCUCUCUCCCCAGUCCUGAAGGGAAUAUAGAAACAAACAAGCUUUCCCUCACAGGCUCAAUCUACCUAGAUUUCUGUACUCUUUUCCCAUUAUGAUAAUUCUUUCCUAUUUUCUCCUUUUCAGGUUGACCACAGAACUGACUGUCACCCUCACUGAACUCCUUACUACAGGAGUGCAGCAGCAGAGAUCGCAGCCAGUGAUCUCAGUUAAAUGAAGACUAAUGCCUAGAGUUAGGAUAUACAGCUCAGGCAUUUAUCAGUCAUUUAUGUCCUUUGAGUGGCUGCAUUUGCUAAUCAGAUGCUUAUGGUGCUCCAGCUGUUAUAGCUGCCAGGGAGCAAGGGCAGGUGAUCUGCAAGCAGGCAUCAGCAGCAGGGUAGGAUCAUCGCAGGAUGGACACAGGUGAGUAGCUCUGGCAAUGGUCAUUGGAUUCAGUCAGGAGUCCAGAUCAUUAGGCAAGUCCAUAGUGAUAAAGCAGAAUCCAAACAAAAAUGUCAUGUCUCCAAGUCAGGCUCCAGUAUCGCACAGGCACAUAUGAAGAGCAAGAAAUUGAGCUUAAACGUAUCACAGAAUCACAGAAUCAUCUAGGCUGGAAGAGACCUCCAAAUCACCUAGUCCAGCCUCUGACCUAACACUAACAAGUCCUCCACUAAACCAUAUCACUAAGCUCUACAUCUAAAUGUCUUUUAAAGACCUCCAGGGAUGGUGACUCAACCACUUCCCUGGGCAGCCCAUUCCAAUGCCUAAAAGUAGCUGCCAGGCACAGGAGGACAGCUCCUCUGUGGGGCUGUCUAAUGUCAGAGAGAAGCAUCUUCAAAGUUGGGCUAGAGCCCUAGCAGCUGAACCCUGGGUGCAGCACUUGGGGCCUUGAAAACGUUCAACACUUUCAAGAACUGGAUGUAAGACAGCAUUAAAGUGGAUCAGAUGUGUAAGUAGGUCAACCAUAUUGUCUCUCUCUUCUUAGUGGUUCUCAUGCCUUAGAUUUGGUGAGCCAUUGGGCCACAGCUUUCUUGUAUCCAUUUUACUCAGCCAACAGCAAAAUCCCCACUCAUCUUGCUUUCAGACUCACAUUAGAGUCUCUUUUACAUGUACAGCUGUCGUUGAUAAGUCACUUCUGGCUUACAUUAGAUUGCAAAAUAAAUAAAUAAAUAAAUAAAAU
rnacentral:lncRNA from 1 species